AAAUGCCAUUUUUCUAAAUGGUUUGACGGUACCAGAGGAAUAAGCACCGGCUAACUCCGUGCCAGCAGCCGCGGUAAUACGGAGGGUGCAAGCGUUAUCCGGAUUCACUGGGUUUAAAGGGUGCGUAGGCGGGCAGGUAAGUCCGUGGUGAAAUCUCUGAGCUUAACUCAGAAACUGCCAUGGAUACUAUUUGUCUUGAAUACUGUGGAGGUAAGCGGAAUAUGUCAUGUAGCGGUGAAAUGCUUAGAUAUGACAUGGAACACCAAUUGCGAAGGCAGCUUACUACACAAAUAUUGACGCUGAGGCACGAAAGCGUGGGGAUCAAACAGGAUUAGAUACCCUGGUAGUCCACGCCCUAAACGAUGAUUACUCGACNUCAGCGAUACACUGUUGGUGUCUGAGCGAAAGCAUUAAGUAAUCCACCUGGGAAGUACGUUCGCAAGAAUGAAACUCAAAGG
rnacentral:rRNA from 1 species